rnacentral:rRNA from 1 species
UACAGAGGUCUCAAGCGUUGUUCGGAUUCAUUGGGCGUAAAGGGUGCGUAGGUGGCGCCGUAAGUCGGGUGUGAAAUUUCGGAGCUUAACUCCGAAACUGCAUUCGAUACUGCGGUGCUUGAGGACUGGAGAGGAGACUGGAAUUCAUGGUGUAGCAGUGAAAUGCGUAGAGAUCAUGAGGAAGACCAGUGGCGAAGGCGGGUCUCUGGACAGUUCCUGACACUGAGGCACGAAGGCAGGGGAGCAAACGGG